rnacentral:lncRNA from 1 species
UCAAUUCGAGGGAAGAAAUAAUGUCUUUGGAGGUAAAGACAUUUUUUUCAUAAUUUACUUGUUUCUUUAGUUAGUUUUUUACAAAUGGUAACCAAGUCUUGAUAAGAAAAGUAAGUGGCUACCUCAUCUUCUUGAUGAUUUUUCAUGAGACACAAGUUUUCUUCUUCUUUAUAUGAGGAUUUCACAUCAUUGUCAUCCUAAGAUAUAUAAG